AGAGAGAGACAUGCGCGCAUAUCAAUAAGCGGAGGAAAAGAAACUAACAAGGAUUCCCUUAGUAACGGCGAGUGAAGCGGGAAGAGCUCAAAUUUGAAAUCUUCAGGGUUCUACCUUGACGAAUUGUAGUUUAUAGAAGUGUUUUCUGUUAGUGGAGUGGCAAAAGUUCUUUGGAAUAGGACAUCAUAGAGGGUGAGAAUCCCGUAUUUGGUCAUUCCUCCUAGCGUUGUGAUACACUUUCAACGAGUCGGAUUGUUUGGGAAUGCAGUCCAAAAUGGGUGGUAAAUUUCAUCUAAAGCUAAAUAUUGGCGAGAGACCGAUAGCGAACAAGUACCGUGAGGGAAAGAUGAAAAGAACUUUGAAAAGAGAGUUAAACAGUACGUGAAAUUGUCAAAAGGGAAGCGUUUGACACCAGUGUUGUUUUUCCGAAAAUCAAUUACGAAUGUUUUGUUUUUGAGGAGUUAUGACUUCAUCGGCUUGCUCCUUUCUUUACGAAACUUUCUUAAUGCACUUUUCGGUUAACAAGUCAACAUCAAUUUCUUUUGUUGUAAAAGGGUAUGAGGAAGGUGGCUUUCUUUUCGGAGAAAGUGUUUAUAGCCUUGGACCUCUGCAAUCGGAGAGAUUGAGGUCUGCAGCGUAGAUCCUUCGGGGUUAGAUACAUUUGGGCUAAGUUAUAGCUUUCAUAGACAACUUGUUGACUAUGAUUCAGUCAUUGUAGCUUACUCGCUUAUGCUAUUUUACCUACGCUUAGGAUGUUGAUCUGUAGUGCGUGCGC
rnacentral:rRNA from 1 species